UACAGAGGUCUCAAGCGUUUGUUCGGAUUCAUUGGGCGUAAAGGGUGCGUAGGUGGCGCGCUAAGUCAGGUGUGAAAUCUCGGAGCUUAACUCCGAAACUGCAUUUGAUACUGGCGUGCUUGAGGACUGGAGAGGGAGACUGGAAUUCAACGGUGGUAGCAGUGAAAUGCGUAGAUAUCGUGAGGAAGACCAGUGGCGAAGGCGGGUCUCUGGGCCGAAAUUGACGCUGAGGAGCGAAAGCGUGGGGAGCAAACAGG
rnacentral:rRNA from 1 species